CGAACUUAUUAACAUAUACUUCAAUUUAUAAUAUCACUUUAGCACAGUUUCAUCUUUUGAUGGAUGUGUUUUAAUAUUAGUCAUAUGAGCACAGAAUACUAUACAGAAGUCCAUCUCCACUGUUUUUUGCGUAAGUGCUAUUCGUCAUGAUUCGUCACUCAGCAAGUACUGUAAACAGAAGCAGUCACCCCCCUGGAUGUGUGCCA